rnacentral:rRNA from 1 species
AACGAACGCUGGCGGCAGGCUUAACACAUGCAAGUCGAACGGUAACAGGCCGCAAGGUGCUGACGAGUGGCGAACGGGUGAGUAAUGCAUCGGAACGUGCCCAGUCGUGGGGGAUAACGCAGCGAAAGCUGCGCUAAUACCGCAUACGAUCUGUGGAUGAAAGCGGGGGACCGUAAGGCCUCGCGCGAUUGGAGCGGCCGAUGUCAGAUUUGGUAGUUGGUGGGGUAAAGGCUCACCAAGCCGACGAUCUGUAGCUGGUCUGAGAGGACGACCAGCCACACUGGGACGGAGACACGGCCCAGACUCCUACGGGAGGCAGCAGUGGGGAAUUUUGGACAAUGGGCGCAAGCCUGAUCCGGCAAUGCCGCGUGCAGGAAGAAGGCCUUCGGGUUGUAAACUGCUUUUGUACGGAACGAAACGGUCCUGGUUAAUACCCGGGGCUAAUGACGGUACCGUAAGAAUAAGCACCGGCUAACUACGUGCCAGCCGCCGCCGUAACAC